rnacentral:lncRNA from 1 species
UAAUGUGUUGGUUGAACCUGAUGUCAUCAGCGCUAUCCAUGACAUCAUUUUAACUUGUACGGAUGAUAUAUGAUAUCAUUAGGGCAAUCCAUAAUGUCAUUACUAUACAGAAUCACCGAUUCUUCUUUAGAACCGAAUGAUUCAACGAUUUCGGUUAUUCUUUAAAACCGGGCGAUUCAACGAUUUACUAAGGAGCCUUGAUGAUAGAACCAGCGAUUCAACGAUUUACUGACGAGCCUUGAUGACAGAACCGACGAUUCAACGAUUUACUGUACAUAAUAUUCAACGAUUUACUAACGAUCCAUGAUGUCAUUAGGGCGAUACACAAUUUUACUGUACAGAAUUUACUGUACAGAAUCGUCGGUUCUUCUUUUGAACAGGGCAAUUCAACGAUUUACUAUACAUAAUAUUCAAUGAUUUACUGACGAGCCUUGAUGAUAGAAUCGACGAUUCAACGAUUUACUGUACAUAAUAUUCAAGGAUUUACUGACAAUCCAU